UUCACCUUCUCACAAUGAGGUUCCCUGCUGAGCUCCUGGGGCUGCUAAUGCUCUGGGUCCCUGCCUCCAGUGGAGAUAUAGUGAUGACCCAGACUCCACUCUCCCUGCCUGUCACCCCUGGAGAGCCGGCGUCCAUCUCCUGCAGGUCUAGUCAGAGCCUCUUGGAUAGUUAUGGAUACACUAAUUUGAAUUGGUACCUGCAGAAGCCAGGCCAGUCUCCACAGCUCUUGAUCUAUGAGGUUUCCAACCGGGCCUCUGGAGUCCCAGACAGGUUCAGUGGCAGUGGGUCAGGCACUGAUUUCACCCUGAAAAUCAGCCGGGUGGAGGCUGAGGAUGUUGGGGUUUAUUACUGCAUGCAAACUCUACAAACUCCUCCCACAGUGAUGGCAAGCAAACCCCACAAUACACAAAAGGAAGAGGGCUACAGUCCCAUUAACAAGUUGGAGCCCUUAAGGCGAGAAUUAGGUGGAACAUCUGGAACAUCUGAGAGGAGACACCAGGCUGCGGAGGAGUGGGGAACCUGCUUUGUGCUCUGA